AGGAGAUUAACUCAGAGGUAGAGUACUCGUCUGAUAAGCGAGCGGUCGAUGGUUCGAGUCCAUCAUCUCCUACCA
rnacentral:tRNA from 1 species